AUGAGCGUGUUCUUGGGCCAUCAUAGAAACAUAGAUAGGGUCGACGACGGAACGAACAACGAAACUUUACGACAGCUUUUUCGUACACGUUCACUUGCAUCACAUACACAAGUGCUCUCUGAACCGUGCAAUAAGGUUUUUAGGUUAUGCAAUAGAAGGGGGGCUUUGCUCUGGAUCCCCCCUGCUUGCAGAAAUGAAUGGAUCAGAAGGGUGCUGGGUUCUAUUUCCGGGCCGGGCGGGAGGUGAAGGCCAUAAGAGAAGAUUGCCCUCCGGUAAGGAAGAGAGGAAAAAGGUGCUGUUCUCAAAGCAGAGGAGGAAGGGUGGGCAGCAGGUACCACGAGCCCUCUGUCCCACACAUCUAUCCAGAAGCAAGUGUAGUUCACCGGUUCCACCGAAUGCUCCUAUCUCUCGGCAAAGAUCGUGUGAGUGUGCAGUUAUGCUUCGGAUGCUUCGCUAUAGAAUAGAUCGACCCAGUUCCCGUUCUUUUCCGGUGCACUCGCUUUAUAUCUCCGACACACAAGGAAAGACGCGGUGGGAAGGAAGCAGCAGCCCUAGCCUCUGUCCGGCCGAUCAUUCCGCUGGCAUCUUGCAUUCACGCCUCCGUUUGACUGCCGCUUGGGGAUGUAGUUGUAGAUACGUUAGUCUUAGUGGGUCGUUGGCUCCACCUGUUAUCUCCUUCUACGACAUGCUGUUGUCGUCGCCAUAUUCCAUAUGUCACUUAGUCAUCUCUGCCUCGCUGCGGGUCAGCACCUCCGAAAGAAACGGAGGACUUCAUUCAGUGACUCCGCGAUCGCCCUCUGAACGAUCAGAAUAAGGUAAAGCUUGAAGAUAAGUUUUGUACUCUAUUAAUUUCUCAGUCCCUCUAGUCGGGUGGGCGCCGGCCGGUCUUUCGACCAGAUCCCCCUAAAAACCGUACGUGCGGGUCUCCCCGCAUGCGGCUCACGCCAUUCGAGGUGGCCCAGCCCAGCAUUCAUUCGCAAAUCCUGUAGUGAAAAAUGGAGACUGCUCGACCUCGGAAGCUAAUUCGCGUGUAGGCAGCGCUGUCUGUCGUACCGUUGACUCUAUCUAUUCAUUGAAUUUACUUUAUUACAUUUUUUAUAUAGGCUCGCUCCCUCUUUUUCCAAGAAUUCAUGCACUUCCCUUUACUUCAUAGGGCCUUCUCUAAUAGGGGAAAAGCCUUCCAUUUCCGUCAAAUGACCCGGCCUCCCCUGGCUCUUCCACCGUCCGGGCUCCCUUUCCUCCCUAUGCUAUGCUCCCCCGGCGCAGGCCUACCACGCUUCGCGCCUGCGGCGUUUUCGCCAGACGGUCUUUGCCAGUAGUGCCAUCCUCCCCGCUGGCUGUAUGAGCGGGUUGUCCCUCGCUGCUGCGUUCUGUUAGGCUAUGGAUUACAGGAACAAAUGUAGUUGAAUGAGACAGCAGGCGGGUUACACGUUCCACUGUGCCGAGAUGUGAGGUGCAGGUGGUGAUGAUCACCCCGGGGUAUGCGCUAGCGCCCUUGACAGGCACUCCAGGACCCGCCAACGCUCAUGAAAACCCGGGUCGGUCGGUCCUCCAUUCAUCCGACCGGAGGUGUGGAUAACGAGGCCACCUUCACAACCUUCUCCCUUCUGUCCCUAUGUUGUAGUAAGGUAGGGCGGUUCGCUUGAGUUGCUCAACCGCCCCUUAGCCCGGUGCUCAUGACGCGCUAUGGAACCUCCACCGUGCCGGGGGACCAAGCAGGGCAUAGCUAGCGGCAUAGGAGCCGACUCGGCGUCAGCGGCUUCGUGCCGCACUGGAGUAAUCCAAUAUGUGGUUCCGCACGUUCCACCACUUCUCCGUUCAUUUCCAAUACUGAUCGUGAAACACCAUGAGCAGCAGGAUGUUGAGGUCCGAAAUUCGAAGUGAAAUUUUGGAUUUGCCUGUUCCUAGUCGUCAUGGGAAAGAAGGGCAGAAAUAAGAAAGAGAUUAUUCCCUGAGAGCUUGUCCAGUACUACCAGUACCAGAAAUGCAUCUCCUUCGCCCGCGCGCGAUAGCUCUACCUGGCGUGCCGCCUUGCAUGCAAGCGAAGCGCUAUUGGCGGCAAUAAAUAGCUCACUGAGCGAUGAUUGAUGCAGCCCCUACCUUUGAAAGCUGAAGGAAGGCAGUGCCCUCGAUUGUUCCAGAGAGAAGGAUCAUGGCGCCCCAGAACCGUGACAUCCAGCAGCAGCAUCUCCUUGCGUGCGAGAGACUUCUAUGCCAGCCGUUAUUCCCGGCUCUGUUAUGAAAGAAAGCGGCAGACUCAUCUUACAGGUGUUCCCUAAUGAGGGAUUUUAGGAGAUUAGGGUUCUCCUUUAUCUCCUCCACCCAUCCGCGGAGGGUUUCAGUAUCCAUCUCCGCAGAUAUUUCCAGAUCGCGAGACAUAAUGUUCUCUGCGACACUGGAAUAGAUUUCUGCCAUUUCCGGAAAGUGAACGGACAGCCGCCCUUUCCCCUUCUCACAAUGUUCCCGAACUUGCUCAAGAAUCAAAGUGUGAAUGGCACUUCGAAGUGCCUCACGUUGUUCUUGAUGGGGAUCGGCGUGGGGAACUUCCACCGGUUCUGAAGCCAGCGGGUUCUGAAUGACCUC